UGGGGAAUAUUGGGCAAUGGGCGAAAGCCUGACCCAGCGACGCCGCGUGGGCGAUGAAGGCCUUCGGGUCGUAAAGCACUGUCAUGUGGGAAGAACUGUCUCGUAGCUAAUACCUGCGAGAUUUGACGGUACCACAGAAGGAAGCACCGGCUAACUCCGUGCCAGCAGCCGCGGUAAUACGGAGGGUGCAAACGUUGUUCGGAAUUAUUGGGCGUAAAGGGCGCGUAGGCGGUUGUGUUAGUCAGAUGUGAAAUACUUCAGCUUAACUGAAGAACUGCAUUUGAUACUGCAUGGCUAGAGUACAGGAGAGGGAAAUGGAAUUCCCGGUGUAGAGGUGAAAUGCGUAGAUAUCGGGAGGAACACCAGUGGCGAAGGCGGUUUCCUGGCCUGAUACUGACGCUGAGGCGCGAAAGCGUGGGGAGCAAACA
rnacentral:rRNA from 1 species